AUACGGAGGGUGCGAGCGUUAAUCGGAAUUACUGGGCGUAAAGCGUGCGUAGGCGGUUUGCUAAGUCAGAUGUGAAAGCCCCGGGCUUAACCUGGGAACAGCAUUUGAUACUGGCAGACUAGAGUAUGAUAGAGGGGGGUAGAAUUCCUGGUGUAGCGGUGAAAUGCGUAGAUAUCAGGAGGAAUACCAGUGGCGAAGGCGGCCCCCUGGAUCAAUACUGACGAUGAGGUCCGAAAGCGUGGGGAGCGAACAGGAUUAGAAACCCCAGUAGUCC
rnacentral:rRNA from 1 species